UACAGAGGUCUCAAGCGUUGUUCGGAAUUACUGGGCGUAAAGGGUGCGCAGGCCGCACGGGCAGUCAAAUGUGUAAUUCAGAGGCUCAACCUCUGGACUGCGCUUGAUACUUCCGUGCUCGAACCUUGGAGAGGAGUCUGGAAUUCUCGGUGUAGCAGUGAAAUGCGUGGAUAUCGAGAAGAACACUAAGGGCGAAGGCAAGACUCUAGACAAGUGUUGACGCUCAUGCACGAAGGCUAGGGUAGCGAACGGG
rnacentral:rRNA from 2 species